GAUGAACGCUGGCGGCGUGCCUAAUACAUGCAAGUCGAGCGAACGGACGAGAAGCUUGCUUCUCUGAUGUUAGCGGCGGACGGGUGAGUAACACGUGGAUAACCUACCUAUAAGACUGGGAUAACUUCGGGAAACAGGAGCUAAUACCGGAUAAUAUUUUGAACCGCAUGGUUCAAAAGUGAAAGACGGUCUUGCUGUCCCUUAUAGAUGGAUCCGCGCUGCAUUAGCUAGUUGGUAAGGUAACGGCUUACCAAGGCAACGAUGCAUAGCCGACCUGAGAGGGUGAUCGGCCACACUGGAACUGAGACACGGUCCAGACUCCUACGGGAGGCAGCAGUAGGGAAUCUUCCGCAAUGGGCGAAAGCCUGACGGAGCAACGCCGCGUGAGUGAUGAAGGUCUUCGGAUCGUAAAACUCUGUUAUUAGGGAAGAACAUAUGUGUAAGUAACUGUGCACAUCUUGACGGUACCUAAUCAGAAAGCCACGGCUAACUACGUG
rnacentral:rRNA from 1 species